UAAAAAUCCCAUCCAACGGUUCAAUAACAGAGCAAAUGAAAUGCCAGUCUCUUGAAAUUCAGCAAUACAUUCUUAAAAAUAAAAUAUUAAAACAAAACAUCAAUUUCUGAAAUGAUUCCCUAAACUGACAAAGUAAUGACAAACUUUUCUGGUAUCAAUAAAC